rnacentral:rRNA from 1 species
AGUAGUUUACUACUUUGCCGGCGAGCGGCGGACGGGUGAGUAAUGUCUGGGAAACUGCCUGAUGGAGGGGGAUAACUACUGGAAACGGUAGCUAAUACCGCAUAACGUCUUCGGACCAAAGUGGGGGACCUUCGGGCCUCACGCCAUCGGAUGUGCCCAGAUGGGAUUAGCUAGUAGGUGGGGUAAUGGCUCACCUAGGCGACGAUCCCUAGCUGGUCUGAGAGGAUGACCAGCCACACUGGAACUGAGACACGGUCCAGACUCCUACGGGAGGCAGCAGUGGGGAAUAUUGCACAAUGGGCGCAAGCCUGAUGCAGCCAUGCCGCGUGUGUGAAGAAGGCCUUCGGGUUGUAAAGCACUUUCAGCGAGGAGGAAGGCAUAAAGGUUAAUAACCUUUGUGAUUGACGUUACUCGCAGAAGAAGCACCGGCUAACUCCGUGCCAGCAGCCGCGGUAAUACGGAGGGUGCAAGCGUUAAUCGGAAUUACUG